rnacentral:lncRNA from 1 species
CAAUUUUCACCCCUAAUGAACAAAAAUUUUCAUUUUUCCAUAAACAGAAGUUUUCAAUUUUUUAACCCCCCAUUAACAAAAAUUUUCACCCCCCAAUGAACAAAAAUUUUCAAUUUUCACUUCCCAAUUAACAAAAACUUUUAAUUUCCCAGUGAGAGUGGCGAGGACUGCGUGGUGAUCCUGGAUGACGAUGAGGAUGUGCAGGAGAUCCCCGAUGAUGGGGAUGUGGCGUUGAAGAGAUCCCGACAGAGGAGCCCCCCGUGGGACACAGAGACCCCAAAAUGUAAUUUGGGGAGGGGGAUUUGGGGGUGCUGCACAUCCCCAACCCCCCGGAAUUGCGGGUAAUGAGGGGCUGGGGUCCCCCAAAACAGCUCAGGGUGUUUGAAGGCCUUUUCACAUCCCCCUCCCCAUUUUUGGGGGGUCCUAAAUCUCCUCAAUCCCCCCCUCACACACCAAGGGGACGAACACAAACAUUUCCUCAUUUCCUGGUUGGUUGUUUUUUUUUUUUUUUUUGUACAUUUUGGGUUCAAAACUUGUAAAAUUUGCUUUUUAUAUUGAAGAAUUAUAUUAUAAUAAAGAGAAAGUUUUAACAGAUUUAUGUGAGAUUUCCUCUUGAAUCACAAGGGAGUUUGUGGGGGAUUUCAGGGGGAUCUUCUUCUUCUCCUUCCUCUUCCUCCUGCUCUUCAAUUCCCACAAUUUGUGGUGGAAUUUUCCCCCUCAUCCCCACCGGUUCCGGUGCUUUCCCAGUUUCCAUCCCGUUCCCGGUGCCUCCAUCGCCCCGGUCCCGGUUUCCCUCCUCGUUUCUAUCCCGGUCCCGGUGCUUCCAUCCCGAUCCCGUUCCCGCUGCCCCAGCCUGGCUCCAGUCCCGUUCCCGCUGUCCCGGCCUCGCUCCCCGUCCUGAUCCCGUUCCUGGCUCCAUUCCCGCUGUCCCAGCCUGGCUCCGGUCCCGGUUCCUGUCCCAGUCCCGCUGCCCCAGCCUCUCUCCGGUCCCGUUCCCAGUCCCAAUCCCGUUUCUGGUCCCGUUCCCAUUCCCGCUGCCCCAACCUCGUUCCGGUCCCGAUCCCGUUCCGGGCCCUGUUCCUGCUGCCCCAGCCUGGCUCCGGUCCCGUUCCCGGUGUCCCAGCCUCGCUCCGGUCCCGUUCCCGGUCCCCUUGCCCCAGCCUUGCUCCGGUCCCGAUCCCAAUCCUGUUCCUGGCCCCGUUCCCGCUGCCCCAGCCCCGCUCCGUUCCCGCUGUCGCUGUCCCGGUCCCGUUCCCGUUCCCGCCGUCGCUGUCCCGUUCCCGGCCUGCCCCUCCCCGCCCUCCCGCCAGGGGGCGCCACAACCGCGCGUCUCCACCAAUCAGCGGGCGGCAAAUCUGC